CAAAGAAACGUGUCUUCACAUACACAAAACAGCAGCCCCUCCGUAUCCAUGCAGGGCUGGUUCCAAGGACCCCUGAGGAUACCCCAUCCUGGAAUCCUCUAAUUCUUCAUUUAAAAUGUCACCUAGGUAUUCACUUCUGGAGACUUUAUAGUGUGUCUAAGUUACGUGCCACGUCUGAUACAGUCUAAGAGUUCUGUAAAUGUCUUUAGGGGAUAAUGACAAGAAAAAUGUUUGAGCAGGCUCAGUAUAGAUACUGUCAUGGCAGUCACAUAGGGCUAAUUAUUAUGUCACUAAUGACAUAGCAUUUUCUUGAAAAAGGUUCUUAUUUACAAUCAUGGCUAUUGCAUAGGAAGGAUACCUCUUGUAUUCAGCGGUCACAGUCCAAUCUCAGUUAAGGCUGCAUUUGGAGCUUGACCAGUGUCGUCACCCGACUCUGUUGACUUCAGCCUCAGGUUCCUUGUAUCACUACAAUGGCUUCAACAGUUCCAGCCCCACAGCCAAGCUUUCAGAGAGAUCUACCUUGCACAGUUAACACGUGUCGGACGCAUGUAAGAGAGGAACCUGAAUCUAGACAACACACAUGAACAUGUGGACAGGCAGCAUGAUGGGAGAGAAAGGAAGAGGCGGCCCUGUAGGCUUUCUAGCUCUGUGGAAGAAAGCCCCACAGUGAAAUAGAGACUGUUGACAGCAAUCGCUGCUCUGUUUUCUAAUUUGGAGACCUGUUCACGUCUGGAACAUUCACGAAAAGCAAGCAAGAGCCUUUCCCGCAAAUGACCAAAUGAGAAAUUAUUCAAGGUGGGCAAUGGGCCGCCAGCAGCCAUUGUGCUGUUGCUAAAUACAGUGGGUUGAUUUGCGAAGGGGUCAUGAGCUCUCCCGGGGGUGUUUACUGCACACAUUGGCCAAUGAGAAAAUGUUACCAGCAAUAUCUUUGUCUCUAGUCUAUUCUUUCUUGGGGCUGCAAACGCUUUCUUGAAAAGAUGUGGUCUUUAUUCUCAUGAAUACAUUCUGGGAACUAAGCUGCUUGGGGUGCAAGGGUUUCCUGGCCUGACAGCAAUGGAAACUAGGUGUGACAUUCUGUUUAAUAAUCCCAAGCCAGAGAGCUCAGGCCCAGGCAAGGAAAACUUGUGCCCAGGUGACUUGUGUUGACUUUGCAGAGUUCUGUAAAUAUUUGUUGCUGUAUUUGUUUUGGGAGCAGACACAUCUGUGAGUGGUUGGAAACUCCACUCUGUGUGUUUGAAAGGGGACGAAAAGGGGAACAGGGCUAUUCUUUAUGUGCAUGUCCAAUCCAGAUUCUGAAUUUGAUGCAAAAGUUUAAUUUCUUGGGAGAGAAGCCCUUUUCCUUUUUCUUUUCAUUCAUCCGAAAGCCUGCUCAACCACAGUGGUUAUGCUGAAUGCAACAUAGGUCACUGCUGCGUUUUCAAAUCUUGUCUGCAUGAGACCACAAGGAGGUGUUAGCGGGGGUGAGGGGGUAACGUUUCAGAGUGCCAUGGCUGGCAUUUAGACUCUCUUCUCUUUCUUAUUUUCACCUUUUAUAAGACAUUAGGUUAGAACUUGAGUGACUUACGCAAUUACCCAGUUCAGGUGCAGAACUUCUUAGGUUGAUUUUUGGGGGGAAGGAGUGGGAGCCUCUGUCUUAUUUGUGUGUUCUGGAGUGUGGUUUUUGUCUCUCUCAUUAGUGUGAGACGAACUUCUCUCAGUUGGAUCUACUGUUCCAAUUAUUAUUAUUAGCCCAGACGAAGAGCCAAGAGUUAAGUGUUUUUAUAUUCCUCCUGUUAAGAAAAAGGAAACAGAGAGCUCUAGUUAGCCUGGAUGAAGUAUGCUUCCUCUUGCUCACAGAUGUGCUUAAAUUAAGAAGUCCACAGCUGGGGCAUGGUCAUAGCCUAGAGACACAACUUCAGGUUCUUGCAUCAGCCCACCCAUGGCUCCUGGCCUCCAGGGGCCAUCACCAAGGAAGCUUGCUUCCAAACAAGGACUCAGCACAGAGUCAUGGAACACAGCAACAGGGAAUCGUAGCUAUGGUCUCUUCCUCUGGUGCUGACCACAGAUUCUAUGUUCUUAUAGAACAACCAGAAAUCAUAGUGCUCGGCCUUUCAGAGUAACCCUGGGAUGUAGCCAUCUAUUCCAGGUUCAUGGGUUUGAACCCUUGGUCCCCACUAAUGAUGCUAUUUUGGGAAACCUUUCGAACAUGGGAUCUCGCUAGCAGACAGGGUUGUGGGGACAGGACUAGAAGAUUUCCAGCCAGCCAUAUUUCAGUCAAGUUCUCUGCUUCCUGUUAUGGGCCAUGUAUGUAACAUGUAGUUGUCCUAUGCUCAAGACAACAUGGAGUCAUCUGCCGUCAUGCCUCCACUGGGUCCUGCAUCCCCUUAAACUGGAAGGCUCCCUGUCUUUGGUUACUCUUGUUGAGUACUUGCUCAUAGCAAUGAGGAAGACCAUCCUAAUGUGUCUCUAAAAGCAGAAGGUGAGGAUUUGAGUGCACUGAAAAUCAUGAGCCCAGUAAAACCUAGGUGGAGAAUGAGGUCCGUGAAGCCCUGGGUAUCUGGACUCAGGCCUACUAGGGACCACUAGGAACUGCAAGGAGCACCCGUCUCAGAGCCCCUUCACUAGGGAGUUGGCCAUGUUUAUAGAGCAGCUCCUGCGUGUUGUUGGUAGAAAGAUGCUCUUGCAGGAACAUGGACGGGCUUCCUACUCUUGUGAAUAGGUGGAAGGUGCCAGUGAGGUGAAGUGCAGAAACAGCAGUAGUAGACAUUGGGACCACCAAUGCUAACAGCCUCCUGGAGUCAUUAGUUACUUGUCCUGGUGAGGCAUGGGAUGAUAUAAGUGGACACAGCAUGGUCAGGCGAAAACCUCAUGGACGCUAUAAAUGUCCCCAAGGACAAGGAAGGCUGAGCUAACACAUCAGCCUGCAUUUGUAAUGACCACCUGAUGAACACCAUUGCCACAUGGAUGGCCUGGCACACGCUCCAAGCAUGGUGCUAAGUACGUGGUACAUGUUAUCUCUCAGCUUGCAAAAACAUCCCGUGAAGAUCCCACUGUGGUCUCCAUCUUGCACCCUAAACAACUUGCUAACAUAGGAUUUUCUAACCCAGGCAGCCUGGCACCAGAGCCUUGACUAUGUCAUACAGCUCUCUGCCUAGAAUCCAAGUCUAGAAGCACUAGACACACUAGAGAUGCCCUCUCUCAUUAGAACAACACUUUGUUAAACAUUCCCUGGGUGUUUCAUCCUCUGACAGGCACUUUACAUUCAUUUGCUUGAACUGAGUUCUUCAUCGAGGCUGAGCUGUGUAUCAUUACUACUUUGGUGCUAAGGACAGCAAGACUCAUGACUUUACCACAUGGCUGGUAAACAGCUCUGUCCAAACACUGACCUGUCCUGACACCAGUCACUGAGGCACACUGUGCUAUCCCUUCUAACUGGGCCUCUGAAGAAGGGACUAGGCAGUGAAUAAAAUAAAGAGGAAAAGCGUAUUCUCAACUCAUCCCAGAGAAAGCAGGUGGACCAAGGGCCAGUCAGAAAUUGUGGAACAUUUGGAAGAUCAAGACCCAUGCCUCCAGCCUCCUAUCAUGAGCUCAGCACAAUUAGCUGGGGUGCGUUGGUGGUGGUGGUGGUGGUGUGUGUGUGUGUAUGAGAGAGAGAGAGAGACCUUUGAUAAUAUUCAAAGUAUUUUACAAUUUACUUCCCCUUCACCUGGCACAAUAGCAUGGAGAGAGGAAUGGAGCCAACCCCGCCAGCCUUUAAUAAGCCAAUCUCUUGUGAAAAAAAGUCCCUUCAAGCCUCAGAGUACCAUGACAGUGCCAGUGUCCUGCAGGAUUCUGGUGAUCAAGUGUGUACAAUCCAGGUGUGCUGGAGCAGGCAGGGAAGCGUGUAUCCACCUUUGCUCUGCUGAAAGGCAUUCUGGGAGCUCACAGGUUAUAUAGGUAGAAACUGAUCCCCUCUUUCCUUCACUACCUUCUCCCCACCUGCUUUUUUUGUCACUCACUUCUUUCCUUUACAGGAAGGAAACACAAAAUAAUGGGACAAAUGCUGCCUAGGAACUUUGGACACCUGGCUAUGGCCAGCAAAGAAUCACAAAGAGUGCAUUUGACCCAGGUGGCUGCAGCUUUUGGUUGGGGACUAGCCAAGCGUCCCUCACUACUAGCUGGUUUUCAGCCGCCAACAAUGGGCAGCUGUACCAAAUGAUGCAAGCAUUUGUCCUCCACAGUGUUUACAAUUGUUUAGCCUUUAUUUAAAAAAAAAAAACUCCAGCAGAUUUUGUUGUUGAAGACUUGAGAGCAAUGGAAGUCUGAAAAUCAGCUGUGAACACCUUGAACCCAUUCUACUUCAUGGCCAUUGUCUACUGCCACUGGUUUCCAGUUGCUCCUUCUAGGCUUGUGUCAUUAACUCAGUGCCCAUGUUUGGUUUGUCCUACAUUCAGCUUGCUUGCUUCGAGGCUCAUCUCCGUGUUCUUUCUCUUGCUGUAAUAAAACACUCUGACCAACAGCAACUUAGGGGGGAAAGGAUUGGUUUGAUUUACACUUCUAGGUCACAGUCCAUCAUUGAGGGACCACUUACCCAGGGAAUGGUACCACCCAUAGUGGGCUGGUAUCAAUUAAUAAUCAACACUAUCCCCACAGACAUGCUCACAGCCAAUUCCAUCUAGGGAAUACCACAAUUGAAACUCACUUUUCCGAUAACUCUAGGCUGUAUCAAGUUGACAGUUAAAGCUAAUUAAGUUAAACUUAAUAAAGGGUUUGAAGAGGUCAAGAGCGAUAAAAUAACCCCAGAGGCAGCUGCUAAAAAUGCAGAUGGCUGAAGAAUUUACUUUUCUGUAUAAGAAAGACAGGUACCUUUACUAAAGAUCAGAUCUUGGAAGAUGGGAGAAAUGAUGUGUCCCGUGCAUGCAAUAUUCCAGAUGCCUUCAUAGAGGGCUCUUCCUCAGUUUUCUUAACCAGAGAAUCCUUCUUUCUUAGGGAGUUUUCACCUUGAAAUGAACACCGUUCAUGUCUCUCAAUCCCCUCUGCACUAUGCUCUUCUGUCAACCUGGAUGUAACGGCCACUAUUGCUCAAUAUAUAUUUCAAUGGAUGAGAGGACAGGCUGUGAGGCCAUUGGCUUAAGUAGGCAGUUUUCUCUGUGGUAUAAUUAUGUGGUGUAAUCAAUAUUCACCCCCCUCUCUCACCUAUCUCUUUAGAGGCUGGCUAAGGUGAUUUGAACAUACUCUGGUCUUUGUAAGGGGGAAGGAUAAGCCAUCAAAGAACUUUGCAAAUUUGAAAACAUCUGCCUUGGAUUGGCUUCUCUAUUUCUCCCCUCCUUUAUUCUUCCUUUCUUUCUAAUAAGCAAACAGAGAACAAUCUUGUUGGGUGUUUUAGAUCUUGAAAACAUUCCACAGACUUCUCAGUGAUUCUCAUCAGAACACAUGAAGAGACAGUGAUGUGCACUGAGGAGUCCCCCUGCCCAAGCUAGGAACCUGGACUCUGCAGUAGAAUGAACAAGACCAGUUCCAGCCAGUGGCUUAGAAGGAUGCUGACAGAUCACUAAUGUGUCAAUGCCAAGGGGACUUGAGCUGCCUCCACAUAUAAUGGUCACUUUGGUUUUGGGAAUAUCUACAGUGUUCCAAGUAUCUACAGAGUACUUUAUACACAAAAUAUUAUAAUUCCAUAAAAAACUUUCCCAUGCCUAUCAUUCUUAUUUUACCAGGGAGGAAGCUGCCCAGAAUUCUGAUGAGAAUUCAGAAUCAACAGGCUUGGGGCUCAAAGCUAACAUUCUCUCCACCAUCUGGCAAGAGGGAGAAAAAUCAUCUAAUUCUCCCUACCCAAGCUCUUACUGUGCUCCAAUGAUCCCAUCUACCAGAGUUCUUGAGUCUAUUUAUCUCCCAGGAAGCUCCCUGUACAGUUGACAGUUUCUCACAUGUUGUCUGGGAUUAUCUGAAGGUUGGAAGGUGGUUGGGCCAUUUUCCCAUUCAAGAGACUCCCGUUGCAGAAAAGGAAAGGCCACCGUCUGUGCACUACUAGAUUGUGCAUGUGUCAACUUUUAAUUCUUCACAAGCUCAGGGUUGCCACUUUUGGUGUCCUUUUGGAAUCUGAUUUAAACAAUGUAAUGAACAUUCGGGAAGUGAAAGGCUCAUGCCACACCCUUGACAUGGUGUACCAGGGAGAAGGCAGUAAAUAUUAACCAGAAGGUAAAUACGGAAGGACCAGCAAGCAGCAGUCCAUAGAAAAAGAUGCAAGUGAAGCAGAAUGGUAUCAGUUACUGUAAGGCAGCCAAGGCUUGUGUUCAGAUCCCUCUGAUGCACAGUGACUGUGGGGUAGGAGACGCGCCACUUAGCCCCUCCUUAGCCUUAAGUUUCUGUGAAAACCUGAGGUGGUCAUAUAUUCCUUUGAGACUCGUCAUACAGAUCAAAUGACCUCACAUGUAGGACAUGUUGAAGAGACUGAUGGCACUGUUGUGGAUUCAAUCAAAGAUACUACUUAUUUAUGUGUGCACCUAGGCAUUGCUAAACAAUAAUGAUCUUAUAUUGGUCUUGUUUCAAAUUUCUUUGCUAGACUCACAUUUCAGAAGAAAAAAAUCACAUCAAGAUUUUUAUGAUACUAUGCUUUCUAAACAUCCAGAGUAUAUUCUCUUUAAAUUCAAGCUAAGCCACAUUUGAUGUGAGUCCAUCUGUCCAGCAGUAAUGUCUUCUUUAUGAUGGCCAGCAAGACUUGCAGUCCCUUAAGAAAGACUGUGAUGUGUUACUGAAUUUUGCUGAUAUAGAAUAUGUGUGUGUGUAUGUGUGUGUGUGUCUGUGUCUCUGUGUGUGUAUGUGUGUGUGUGUGUGUGUGUGUGUGUGUGUGUGUGUUGGGGGUUGAGGGUUAUCCAACAGUUAUUUAGAAAUACAUGCAGAACAGGCCUCUCAGUCUUGGGAGACCAUCCUGGUGAACUCACAUCCCACAACAAUUGGAACUGGAAAAAAUGGAAACUAGUAACUCAAAGACUAGGGGAAAACAUAAUCCUAGUUCUUAGGAAGGAGAGUAAAAAUGGAAACUGGGCCUGAAUGAAAGAAGAAGGGCAGGUGGAUCCAGGGGACUGUACCUGUGGUAUCUGGGAUAAAGGUGGUGAUUGGCUAGGUACAAAAGUUCAUUCUGCCAUUUUGGAAUCCUGUCAGGGCGAAUCCAAGGCAGGCACAGUGGCCAGGGCACAAAGUCCAUGGUCACUUUAAAAGGGAAGUGAAAGGUGAUUGGUACUAUCCUGAGAAGGAGAGAUGACCAGGAGGCCACUCCCCUGUGACACAGCAUUCUGAAGUGAAAGCAGAGAGCCGCUGAGGCUUUCUCAGGUCACAUCUUCCUUUCCCUCUCCCUCCACUCUUUUGUUUCCUGAACAUGUGUACAUAUCCAAAGAGGGUAUAUUCACAGGGCUUUUUCAAUAUAUGGGCAUUUUGUUGAAGGAAAAAUUUGCAAUUUUACCUAGAGACAAAACAGGAACAGGAGAAAACAGAAACACACACUCUACAAUCAAGACGAGGAAUGCCUUUGGGAAUCACACAGAGGGGUUUGAGAGCAUCAGGUGACUGGAGGGAGGGGAACCCACAAAUAUGGAGCAAUUGACCUGCUCUAGAAAUGACUUUGAACUUAGACAUCUAGAAUAGGGUCUAGCCUGCAUUAUUAUUAGCCUUGGUCAGCAUCCCUGGGAAAGGCUCAUAGUUUCACAUGAGCAAACCCAAGCACUGAAUCUCAGGAAAGUUAAAUCCUUUCCCCGUGCUCAUGUGGAUACUAGGUGUUAGGAUAGGGUCUGAUUCCUCAUUUAUCUCAUAUGUUCACACCCCAUCCUUCCUUAUGGCAGGCAAUAAAAGAAGAAAUAAAGGCCUAUUCUAGAGCUAGGCUUAACUCAUAGGUGCUUUACUCAGACGUUGCUCUGGGAACUUAACUUAUCAGUAUGAGUUGAUAGGAUUGCUACACUUCUAAGUCCCCAGCUUCAGUGAAGACCAAACACUCCUGGAGGUCCUGAGGCGAUGGGCAGCUUCAGAAACAAGACAAGGGAAACUGGUACCUGUGUGCUAUACAACAGCUUUAAGACAGCAUUGAGCUAAUGGUUAAGAGAGGGUCAGUAACUACAUCUGCACUGUGAAGAAGGAUGUCAGGACAUAUGCCCAAUCUUGGCAAGCUUACUUCCUCACAGGGACAGCUCAGUAAGAGGCCAUUCUUAGUGAUGGGUUAGCAAAGAUGAGUGUGUAGCAAGCAAGUAAAGUCCCAAAUGAAUGUCACAGCCAUGUCAAGAAUCCCAAUGCCUCAGACCCAUGCGGGAGGUGAAACCUUCCCUAGGUCAAAUCCAGAGGGAUCUAAAGCGUCUCUGGUUUGUGUGUGGCUGCUGAUAGUGUGUGCAGAAAAUAUUACCAUGACAGCUUUCUCCCUCAACUGUUCCCUUCCAGAGACUGCUCCUACAGAGCAUAGCUAAACCUGCCUCUUGGAUUCAGCUACCACAAAUCCUUUCUGCUUUUCAGGUGUGUACCAUAAACAUGCUGAGCUUUCAAGGAGCCAUAUAGUCUCUAUCAGAAAGCCCCAUGUACCCAGUCCCAGAUUUUCUUUGCUUCCUUUUGUCUGUCUGUCAUUUUCAUUACCUUGUCACCCCUAGUUAGAACAAAUCCUGAAGCCAUGUAAGGAUGAGAUGUGAACACGUGGUUUUUGUUUCUUUUUUUUUUUUUUCUUGGCUACAGUUUGAAGCCUGGAAUUUUUUCAGCACAGUCUAGCCCCCAAAAUGGUUCAUGCUUGACCUAGUGCUAUCUUACCAAUCCAUUUCAUUUUGCUAGUGACAGGCCAGGGAGGCGGGCCUGGGCACCAGUAUUAACCAUUCAGGUGAAAGGAACUGUCUACAGGAAACUUGUAAUCUCUUAUUCUGAUGAGAGAGACAGCAUAAACUGCUUACUGUUGAUUGAAGGAUGCGAUGCCUGAGGUUUUAACAGAUACUGAUGACUCAUAAGAAUGGCAGAUAACUGCAGUGCUAACCCUGGACCACUCAAUUCUGUACACCCUGGAUUAACCAAACGUCUUCAGUGUUUAAGCUAAGUUUGCUUGAAGUUAUCAGACCAAUCAUGUGAGGCUAUGGUAAAAAUGGGAUCUGAGUAUGUAUGUGCUAAAUGUUCCCAGGUCACCCUUCUUGUGCUAUGAACAUGCUAAAUACCAUGAUGUUGGGUAGGACUAUGAGUAUGAGGAGCUUCUCUGGGUGGACCCUGAGCAGAAACAUCUGGGAGAAGACAGUGUUUGGUUUGGUUUGAUGGAAUGGGUAGGGAUCUGAGGUUGUGAGGGUGGAAUGCUAUGUCUGAAGUUGCCCUGCCACGUACAGCAUGUGGCUAGGGACAGGCAGCUAGCGACACUGGAGUGGACUAUAGAGGAGACUGGGUAUAGAAUCUGGAAUGAUGGCUUGCCUAGACUAGACUGAACUAGAUGUUCAGUGAUGCCAUCUUAUGGACUUGGUGCCUGCCAGUGAGCUAACAUCACUUGUGAGGCAAGAGAAGCUGAUGGCUGCCUGCCACGCCUACGCUUUCAGGGCAGUUAGGAAGGGAAGAAACUGCCAUGGAUACAAAUUAGCCAUAUCUUUUUAGGACCUCCAAGAAACAGCCCAGAGAGAAAUAGCCUAGCAUGUAUAGUCAGGGGAAAGGGAUAUAGAAUGGGACCAUGAGAUGCUCAGUGGAUGGUAAACUUUCCAGUUGAUAUUGGUUCAGGUCUCCGAUGCUCUUAGGAAUGAGCCAAUGGAUCCUUCUCAAUUUCUGAGCUGCCACACGUUUCCAUCCUUAGGUGUUUCUAGCUGCCAUCCAGAUGUUCACUGCCCUAAAUCCAAAUAUAUCUUCCUUUAGUAACUUUAGACCUAGGCUGUAGUUUUAGCUUAUUAGUUUCGAGUGGGUGAAGAGGAUCACUGGCUCUUGUCUAUCGUGAUAGGAAUGCAUGCAACUCCCUUCUGGUGGUCUCAGAGUAGACUCGAUAUACUUCCCGGCCCCUCAACUUUAGAUGACUUAGCUUGGGAUGUUGGUCAAUAUGAAGCCUGCAAUGUCUCCUGUGCUUCUGCUAUUACUACCAGAGAGUUAUUCUCAGGAGUAUAUAAAUUCCAAAAAGGAGGAGGAGGGAAGAAGGAGGAGGAGGCGAAGAGAUACAGAGAGCCAGAGAAAUUAGCUCACCUGUAAAUGCAUGCAAGGUAAACAGAUGUUGCUAUAGCCCACACAGUAUUAGUGUGGCCGUAGCUGACUAAAAUGCGGAAUCAGGAGGAUUUGUUGACUCCCUUUUGCACCUGAGUGCUCGUCAGAUGGAUGGAGGCCACUAUUAUUCCUACAAAAUGGGAUCAUUUUGUUCUCAUUUAUCCCUAACGCUGAUAACCAUUCCUUGUAUGACACGUGCUUGAAAUCCUGCCUGCAUCUAAUUGCUUACUCUUUCACCCAGAACUGAACACACACUGCUCCAGCUGUAGUGUGCCCCUCACAGAAUCUAUUAAGAUCAUCACUGCCCUUCUGCUCAAAAUAAGACCUGCUGCUGCAGCCUAAAAUUGCUUUUAAAAAAAUAAAUAUUCUGCUGGUAGAUCUUAUUGAGUCUUGGGUUAAUUAAAACCCUCAGGUUUUCUGAUUCAGUGGCUAUCAAUCUAGCUCCCCAACUCUAUAUAGACAAGAUUGACUCAUUUGUAUUGUUAAAUAAAGAUUCUGUUAUCUUUAAAUAUUAUGCCAAGCUGGUGUUCCCUAAUGUCCUGUCCUGCCGAUACAAGUUGAGCCUUAAUUCUGCAGCCAAACACAAGGACUACUCGGUCUAUUACACCAUCUGUGCAUCCGGUGAAUGUGGUUGUUCUCUCUUCUUUCACAGCAACACAAACCAGAGCCCAGGAGAUGUGAGCGCUGUUGUCUAAAAGGAACAACGAAUGCACUUUUAAUUCGUAUGUCUGCUGUCGUGCUUUGGUCUAUAGUAGGAAAGAUGCCUUGCUUAGGUCAAACUACAAAGUAUUGUAACUGCAACAUUUUCAUCAAGAGAGGACAUUUGGUACAAAAUGAUAUUUUGGGGAACUAGGCUUGGGUCUUAGCAACCUCUUAUUUCUUUUCUCUGUGCUAAUAUCCUCUACUUUAUAAUGAUCAGAAAGCAAUACUGAGAUAAUGUCUCUCUCCUUAGAGUCAAUCUCUAAGUGUUUUAUGAACCUUCUCAUUGGCGAAGAUCUGUGACUUUCAGAACAUGCCACCUAGUUUUGUCUUGGUCUCUCUCAUUGAUUUCUGGAAUGGGUUUAAUUUGCCUACCACGUCAAGUUUCAUCCUGGUAUUGGAUGUAAAAGUAUUCCUCUUCCUCUCAUGAUAUUUCCUGGAUAUUUCAGCUUCUACAGGUGGUAGGAAAGAUAGAAGAACUUACUGAGGUAGUGGCUCUCAGCCUCCCAGGGUUACUAGGUACCUCUUCUCCUUUAUCUAUAUCACAGGUCUCUCACUCACUAGUCAGCCCAGAACUUAACAGUUAUGUGUGAUGUGGAAGACCCACUGACCCACUACCAUCAACAUUUAUGUAACCAAGGAGUGGGCAAUUCUUCUCCUUCCUCCUCUUCCAGGAAUGGUGGGGCAAUCAAGCAGCUUCCCAUGGCCUCCAAGAAGACAUCCAGUAGGGCUAAGCAGCCAUCCUAUCAAAUGUGGUGCAUAGUCAUUUCUGGCUCUGUUUUCUUCCUCAUUCCAUUAGCAUAUGAGUUUUGGCUUGAAGCUCUGGUUUAUAAGUGAGGAGAGGAGAUCCUAGUGCCCUGCCUGAAGCUCUUCUAUCAUCGCUUUCUCUGUAUCUCAGCCUUUCAGUGGGGCUCCCUAGAAAUCCUACAGAACGGAUGAACCCAGAGACAGAAGGCAAUAUCUCAGAUUCUUCCUUUUUGGGGGUGGGGAGGAUUGGAAAGCAUGCUCUACAUUGUUCUGCAAUGGUCCCUGCGCGACUGGAGCCCAAUGCUGAGUCAUUGAUAUUCUUCAUUGGUUUUUUUUCCUUCUUUUUUUUCCCCUUCUCCACUUUAGGGAUCCUCCUACUUUGUUCUCUCCCUACUAGAAUCAAAGUAUGUGACCCAAUGUUCACUUUGCCUGGUUGAUUAAUUAUCAUCAUCAUCAUCAUCAUCAUCCUUAUUAUUAUUAUUAUUAUUAUUAUUACAGUCUUAUUAUUAUUUGUAGGGCUC